rnacentral:rRNA from 1 species
AUUGAACGCUGGCGGCAUGCCUUACACAUGCAAGUCGAACGGCAGCACGGGGAGGGGCAACUCUCUCUGGUGGCGAGUGGCGAACGGGUGAGUAAUGCAUCGGAACGUGUCCUCUUGUGGGGGAUAACCAGACGAAAGAUUGGCUAAUACCGCAUGAGAUCGAGAGAUGAAAGCGGGGGACUGCAACGCCUCGCGCGAGAGGAGCGGCCGAUGCGGGAUUAGCUAGUUGGUGGGGUAAAAGCCUACCAAGGCGACAAUCCGUAGCUGGUCUGAGAGGACGACCAGCCACACUGGGACUGAGACACGGCCCAGACUCCUACGGGAGGCAGCAGUGGGGAAUUUUGGACAAUGGGCGCAAGCCUGAUCCAGCCAUGCCGCGUGUGUGAAGAAGGCCUUCGGGUUGUAAAGCACUUUCGGACGGAACGAAAUCGCGCGGGCGAACAGCCCGCGUGGAUGACGGUACCGUAAGAAGAAGCACCGGCUAACUACGUGCCAGCAGCCGCAGUAACAC